rnacentral:misc_RNA from 1 species
UCCCCGCCCCAAAAUCACGAACCUAUUCGUUCACGAUCUUCGGGCGGGGCAGUUUCGUGUGACACAUAUAACACACGAUAGGGGUUGCGCUCGUUACCCCACUUAAGGGAACACCUCAAGGCACGAGCUGACGACAACCGUGCAGCACCCGUAUUGGAUGUCCUUGUGAGAGGGCCAGUGUUUCCACCGGCUUUCAUCCAACAUUUCAAACCCUGGUGAGGUUUUUCGCUCUGUGUCGAAUUAAACCACAUGAUCCACCGCUUGUGCGAGUCCCCGUCUAUUCCUUUGAGUUUUAAGCUUGCGCUCGUACUUCCCAGGCGGCCUGCUUAACGCGUUAGCUACGCCACUCCGAGGGUCGAUACUCGAAACAGCUAGCAGGCAUCGUUUAGGGCGUGGACUA